GGGUUGUGAGGUUAAGCGACUAAGCGUACACGGUGGAUGCCCUGGCAGUCAGAGGCGAUGAAGGGCGUGCUAAUCUGCGAUAAGCGCCGGUAAGGUGAUAUGAACCGUUAUAACCGGCGAUACCCGAAUGGGGAAACCCAGUGUGAUUCGUCACACUAUCAUUAACUGAAUCCAUAGGUUAAUGAGGCGAACCGGGGGAACUGAAACAUCUAAGUACCCCGAGGAAAAGAAAUCAACCGAGAUUCCCCCAGUAGCGGCGAGCGAACGGGGAGGAGCCCAGAGCCUGAAUCAGCAUGUGUGUUAGUGGAAGCGUCUGGAAAGGCGCGCGAUACAGGGUGACAGCCCCGUACACAAAAGCGCAUGUGCUGUGAGCUCGAUGAGUAGGGCGGGACACGUGGUAUCCUGUCUGAAUAUGGGGGGACCAUCCUCCAAGGCUAAAUACUCCUGACUGACCGAUAGUGAACCAGUACCGUGAGGGAAAGGCGAAAAGAACCCCGGCGAGGGGAGUGAAAAAGAACCUGAAACCGUGUACGUACAAGCAGUGGGAGCACACCUUUACGGGUGUGACUGCGUACCUUUUGUAUAAUGGGUCAGCGACUUAUAUUCUGUAGCAAGGUUAACCGAAUAGGGGAGCCGGAGGGAAACCGAGUCUUAAUUGGGCGUUAAGUUGCAGGGUAUAGACCCGAAACCCGGUGAUCUAGCCAUGGGCAGGUUGAAGGUUGGGUAACACUAACUGGAGGACCGAACCGACUAAUGUUGAAAAAUUAGCGGAUGACCUGUGGCUGGGGGUGAAAGGCCAAUCAAACCGGGAGAUAGCUGGUUCUCCCCGAAAGCUAUUUAGGUAGCGCCUCGUGAAUUCAUCUCCGGGGGUAGAGCACUGUUUCGGCUAGGGGGCCAUCCCGGCUUACCAACCCGAUGCAAACUGCGAAUACCGGAGAAUGUUAUCACGGGAGACACACGGCGGGUGCUAACGUCCGUCGUGAAGAGGGAAACAACCCAGACCGCCAGCUAAGGUCCCAAAGUCAUGGUUAAGUGGGAAACGAUGUGGGAAGGCCCAGACAGCCAGGAUGUUGGCUUAGAAGCAGCCAUCAUUUAAAGAAAGCGUAAUAGCUCACUGGUCGAGUCGGCCUGCGCGGAAGAUGUAACGGGGCUAAACCAUGCACCGAAGCUGCGGCAGCGACGCUUAUGCGUUGUUGGGUAGGGGAGCGUUCUGUAAGCCUGCGAAGGUGGCCUGUGAGGGUUGCUGGAGGUAUCAGAAGUGCGAAUGCUGACAUAAGUAACGAUAAAGCGGGUGAAAAGCCCGCUCGCCGGAAGACCAAGGGUUCCUGUCCAACGUUAAUCGGGGCAGGGUGAGUCGACCCCUAAGGCGAGGCCGAAAGGCGUAGUCGAUGGGAAACGGGUUAAUAUUCCCGUACUUGGUGUUACUGCGAAGGGGGGACGGAGAAGGCUAUGUUGGCCGGGCGACGGUUGUCCCGGUUUAAGCGUGUAGGUGUGUGUUCCAGGUAAAUCCGGUUCACUUUAACACUGAGGCGUGACGACGAGGCACUACGGUGCUGAAGCAACAAAUGCCCUGCUUCCAGGAAAAGCCUCUAAGCAUCAGGUAACAUCAAAUCGUACCCCAAACCGACACAGGUGGUCAGGUAGAGAAUACCAAGGCGCUUGAGAGAACUCGGGUGAAGGAACUAGGCAAAAUGGUGCCGUAACUUCGGGAGAAGGCACGCUGACACGUAGGUGAAGUGAUUUACUCAUGGAGCUGAAGUCAGUCGAAGAUACCAGCUGGCUGCAACUGUUUAUUAAAAACACAGCACUGUGCAAACACGAAAGUGGACGUAUACGGUGUGACGCCUGCCCGGUGCCGGAAGGUUAAUUGAUGGGGUCAGCGCAAGCGAAGCUCCUGAUCGAAGCCCCGGUAAACGGCGGCCGUAACUAUAACGGUCCUAAGGUAGCGAAAUUCCUUGUCGGGUAAGUUCCGACCUGCACGAAUGGCGUAAUGAUGGCCAGGCUGUCUCCACCCGAGACUCAGUGAAAUUGAACUCGCUGUGAAGAUGCAGUGUACCCGCGGCAAGACGGAAAGACCCCGUGAACCUUUACUAUAGCUUGACACUGAACAUUGAGCCUUGAUGUGUAGGAUAGGUGGGAGGCUUUGAAGUGUGGACGCCAGUCUGCAUGGAGCCGACCUUGAAAUACCACCCUUUAAUGUUUGAUGUUCUAACGUGGACCCGUUACCCGGGUUGCGGACAGUGUCUGGUGGGUAGUUUGACUGGGGCGGUCUCCUCCUAAAGAGUAACGGAGGAGCACGAAGGUUGGCUAAUCCUGGUCGGACAUCAGGAGGUUAGUGCAAUGGCAUAAGCCAGCUUGACUGCGAGCGUGACGGCGCGAGCAGGUGCGAAAGCAGGUCAUAGUGAUCCGGUGGUUCUGAAUGGAAGGGCCAUCGCUCAACGGAUAAAAGGUACUCCGGGGAUAACAGGCUGAUACCGCCCAAGAGUUCAUAUCGACGGCGGUGUUUGGCACCUCGAUGUCGGCUCAUCACAUCCUGGGGCUGAAGUAGGUCCCAAGGGUAUGGCUGUUCGCCAUUUAAAGUGGUACGCGAGCUGGGUUUAGAACGUCGUGAGACAGUUCGGUCCCUAUCUGCCGUGGGCGCUGGAGAACUGAGGGGGGCUGCUCCUAGUACGAGAGGACCGGAGUGGACGCAUCACUGGUGUUCGGGUUGUCAUGCCAAUGGCACUGCCCGGUAGCUAAAUGCGGAAGAGAUAAGUGCUGAAAGCAUCUAAGCACGAAACUUGCCCCGAGAUGAGUUCUCCCUGAGACUUAGAGUCUCCUGAAGGAACGUUGAAGACGACGACGUUGAUAGGCCGGGUGUGUAAGCGCAGCGAUGCGUUGAGCUAACCGGUACUAAUGAACCGUGAGGCUUAACCUUACAACGCCGAAG
rnacentral:rRNA from 2 species